UCCCUGGUGGCUCAGAGGUUAAAGCAUCUGCCUGGAAUGCUGGAGACCUGGGUUCGAUCCCUGGGUUGGGAA
rnacentral:tRNA from 1 species